UCUCCAAGAAAUAUCUCAUGUAAGUGUUCACCGUGAACUCAAGCAGACAAAAAGUGAAGACAUCUCAGGAACCUGCACCAGCAGCACUCCUCUGAGACAUCUCCAUCGAGCUCCAAAGCUCAGCAGAAUGAAUCUCAGCACGUACCUGAGACCACUGUGAGGACAAGCAGAACUGGAACUGAAAGACAUAGCAUCUCCCACGCUGGCCAGGGUGACCAGAAAUCAUCCAGGCAUGCCAGUACAGAAAUAGCUCCUUGUUAAUCAAGCACGUGCAUUUCCUGAAAGCUUCUGGGCCUAAAACAGGCUGGAAAGCAUCACUGUGUGUUGCUGCUGAACACCCUGACUGCUUCCAAGGCAGGAAGAGCCAUGUGGAAGAGGUACUGGCCAGAGCAAGAGCUGCCUGCCAAUCAGCAUCUAAUUAUGCUUAAUGGAGGCCAACAAUGCUGUCUCUAAUUACAUUUACCUGGGAGGUACCACGUGCCCCUUUUUUGUCUUGGAUGCAGAAAGGCAACAGGUGAAACAGUUGUUUUCCUUCUUUGUUGCAAGGAUCCUCUGCUGUGUAAGUGUUGUCUAAGGAACUGUCCUUUCUUUGAGCAAUUAAAGCACCUUUGCUGGUAGGAGUAUGUGGGUAGCUGUGCCGAGCUCGGCAGUGCCUCCUGUCCAACUUCCAAAGAACUUUUUCUGAGCAGUCAAAACAAGGCCAGUGCCACAACUACUCUCCCACAGAAAUGCUCUGUUCCUGAACAGCCACUUUUAGCAGGAUUUCUGCAGCCACUAAGAGGAUGCAGAGCCAGACAAGUGAUUAGCAAUUACACCAACAGCAAUUGCCUUUUUUUGAUAAAACAGCCCUGGGCCAUGAGAAUUGUGAAUUCUUAAGUUCUGGAGGAUGUCAGCCCAAACUUAUUCAGGGAAAUAAAGUGAUAGCUAUUAAGAAAGAGUACUCGAUGGUCUGCUGUUUAUAGCAAAGGAGCAGAGCAUGAGCAAGGAAAUAUUUCCCUUACUGAGUGCAAGAAGCAAAUGCCUAGAAAGUGAAACAGUCAGGGUUCAGUCCCUACUCCAGGAGCUUUAAAAUAGCUCUGAGGAGGUGGAGGAAAAAAAAAAGGGGGGG